GGUGUUGCUGCUGACUGGAUCUCCUGUGCCCUGGUGGAGCCGAAUCCCAGACUCUGCAGUGCCAGAUCCAGGGGCCGACGGCAGAGCAGCAGACACGGCAGUAUUGUUGAUGAGCCCACUUGAAGUAUAGGAAAGGAAAGUUAUCACUCUGUCCAUUGAUUUUACAAUUUCUCCACUGACAGAAGCAGAGCGGCACCACGGCACCACGGAAUUCCUGGUCCUGGAUUUCUGGAUUGGAAUAGGCUACUCGAAGCCCCUCUGAAGCAGACAUUCUGUGCCGGCGACAGGGGAAACAUGGAGCUGACUCCAGGCUGGACUAGACUUGCGUAUUGUUUCACCCUGGGACAGAACAUUGGACAAUCCAUGUGUUUUAUUGUCUCCCUGGGUUUUUGAGGAGGAGAUUGUCAUUUUAAUAUUGUCAUUUUAAACUUAACUUUUAAAAGAAUAAAAUACUAUUUUUAUACACUUCUUGUGCCUUUCUCGCUGUGUUGGUGUGGCCGGCAAUCUAAAUCUAGAUUUAUUUAAAAUUAACAGACUUCCAAUCUGUUA